UAAUUAUUUAUUGAAACUUAAAUAAUUUGGCGGUAUUUUAGUUCAUUUAGAGGAAUCUGUUUAUUAAUUGAUAAUCCACGAAUGAAUUUACUUAAUUUAAAAUUUUGUAUAUCGUUGUUAAAAAAAUAUUUUUAAAUGAAAAUAAUAUUUUAAUUUUAUAAUUAAAAAUUAAAUCAGAUCAAGAUGCAGAUUAUAAUUAAGAAUAUAAUGGAUUACAAUAAAUUUAUUUAAAUGAAUUUUUUUUUGUAAUAAAAAUUUGAAAGUGGAUUUAAAUGUAAUUUUAUUUAUUUUAAUAAAAUGAUUAUAUAUUAAAAUAUGUACAUAUUGCCCGUCGCUUUCAUAAAUAAAUUGGAAUAAGUCGUAACAAAGUAGAGGUACUGGAAAGUGUUUCUAGAAAUAA
rnacentral:rRNA from 1 species